rnacentral:rRNA from 1 species
AUUGAACGCUGGUGGAAUGCUUUACACAUGCAAGUCGAACGGCAGCACGGACUUCGGUCUGGUGGCGAGUGGCGAACGGGUGAGUAAUGUAUCGGAACGUGCCCAGUCGUGGGGGAUAACGUAGUGAAAAUUACGCUAAUACCGCAUACGAUCUAUGGAUGAAAGCGGGGGAUCGCAAGACCUCGCGCGAUUGGAGCGGCCGAUAUCAGAUUAGGUAGUUGGUGGGGUAAAGGCCCACCAAGCCAACGAUCUGUAGCUGGUCUGAGAGGACGACCAGGCAGACUGGAACGGAGACACGGUCCGGAGUCCUACGGGAGGCAGCAGGGGGGAAUUGUGGACAAGGGGCGAAAGCCGGAUCCAGCCAUUCCGGGUGCAGGAUGAAGGCCCUCGGGUUGUAAACUGCUUUUGUACAGAACGAAGAGGUUUCGACUAAUACUGGGAGCUCAUGACGGUACUGUAAGAAUAAGCACCGGCUAACUACGUGCCAGCCGCCGCAGUAA